GGCUGAUCCCAAGUGUAGUGGUGUUUACAACUAAUUGACCACAACCAGUUACAACAGAGUUCUUUGUUCUUUCUCCACUCCCACUGCUUCACUUGACUGGACUAAA
ensembl:Y_RNA Y_RNA Y RNA